AAUAGAUACCCUGGUAGUCCACCCCGUAAACGUUGGGAACUAGUUGUGGGGUCCAUUCCACGGAUUCCGUGACGCAGCUAACGCAUUAAGUUCCCCGCCUGGGGAGUACGGCCGCAAGGCUAAAACUCAAAGGAAUUGACGGGGACCCGCACAAGCGGCGGAGCAUGCGGAUUAAUUCGAUGCAACGCGAAGAACCUUACCAAGGCUUGACAUAUAGAGGAAACGGCUGGAAACAGUCGCCCCGCAAGGUCUCUAUACAGGUGGUGCAUGGUUGUCGUCAGCUCGUGUCGUGAGAUGUUGGGUUAAGUCCCGCAACGAGCGCAACCCUCGUUCUAUGUUGCCAGCACGUAAUGGUGGGAACUCAUGGGAUACUGCCGGGGUCAACUCGGAGGAAGGUGGGGAUGACGUCAAAUCAUCAUGCCCCUUAUGUCUUGGGCUUCACGCAUGCUACAAUGGCCGGUACAAAGGGCUGCAAUACCGUAAGGUGGAGCGAAUCCCAAAAAGCCGGUCCCAGUUCGGAUUGAGGUCUGCAACUCGACCUC
rnacentral:rRNA from 1 species